rnacentral:rRNA from 1 species
AUGACGAUCAUGAGCUGGAACUGUCGAGGCCUCGGGCAACCUCGAACAGUUCAAGAACUGGUGUAUCUUGUACACACACAGAAGCCCAAGCUCGUCUUCCUCACCAAAACUCGGCAAAAUAACAAGUAUGUCUCAAAGCUCAAAUGGAGGCUGGGCCUCUGCCAUUGUAUCACGCAACCCGGUAUCGGUAAGGGUGCUGACAUUGCUCUUUUCUAUGAUGAAAGUGUGGGAAUA